rnacentral:misc_RNA from 1 species
AAGUCGUAACAAGGUUUCCGUAGGUGAACCUGCGGAAGGAUCAUUAUUGAAAGUAAAAUGUAGUCGGUUGUAGCUGGUCUCUCUGGGGCAUGUGCUCGCCUUCUGCGCUUUCCCUUUUCCACCUGUGCACUACUGUAGACCGUGGAUAGACUCUCGCUGUACGCAGCGGACUUGAGGCUCGCACUUGUGCUUGCUUCUACAUAUCUACCGGUCUAUGUUAUACAUACACUUUAAAAGAACAUCGAAUGUCUGUUUACUGGUCCUAGACCUUUAAAUCAAAUACAACUUUUAACAACGGAUCUCUUGGCUCUC